rnacentral:rRNA from 1 species
ACUCCUACGGGAGGCAGCAGUGGGGAAUAUUGCGCAAUGGACGAAAGUCUGACGCAGCGACGCCGCGUGGAGGAUGAAGGUUUUCGGAUCGUAAACUCCUGUCAAGAGGGAAGAAACCUAUCAUGAAUAAUACUUAUGGUAAUUGACGGUACCUCUAGAGGAAGCACCGGCUAAUUCAGUGCCAGCAGCCGCGGUAAUACUGAAGGUGCAAGCGUUAAUCGGAAUCACUGGGCGUAAAGCGCUCGUAGGUGGCUUUGUAAGUCAGGUGUGAAAGCCCACGGCUCAACCGUGGAAUUGCACUUGAUACUGCAUCGCUAGAGUAUAGGAGAGGGAAGUGGAAUUUCUGGUGUAGGAGUGAAAUCCGUAGAGAUCAGAAGGAACACCCGUGGCGAAGGCGACUUCCUGGACUAUUACUGACACUGAGGAGCGAAAGCGUGGGGAGCAAACAGGAUUAGAUACCCCGUGGUAGACUGUCA